rnacentral:piRNA from 1 species
CAUGUAUAUCUGCACACCAGUAGAGGGC